rnacentral:lncRNA from 1 species
GUUGUUUAAAUCUUUAUUAUUGAUGUGUAGGCAUAUUACAAUUUAUUAUUGAACGAAAUAUAAUGAAAACCAUAUUGCCAAAUAAAUUGAACUAAUAAGUGAAUUGAGGAACAGUGCUAUCAAAGAUUCUGUCCUAGGAGUUGACCCAGCAGCGUGUCCGCCUUUUUUUCUCUUUUUCAUUUGUUUUUAACAUAUUGUAGAGGAGAGGAAUAUUUAUCCACCUUGGCUAUUUCAGGGUCAUUCAGAUUCUCCUCGUUUUCUUUUUAAGUAGAAAAGAAAAAAUAUUAUUUUCUAUUAUUUGUUAUAACCACCAGUUAUUAUUAUUAUUAUACUCACUUGUAGAACAAUAAAUGUUGAAGAAUUUUUGUUCUUAAAUAAAUCCUU